rnacentral:rRNA from 1 species
GAUGAACGCUAGCGAUAGGCCUAACACAUGCAAGUCGAGGGGCAGCAUAAGGAAGUAGCAAUACUUUCUGGUGGCGACCGGCGCACGGGUGAGUAACACGUAUGCAACCUGCCUUCAACAAGGGGAUAACCCGUUGAAAGACGGACUAAUACCCUAUAACACAGGGGUCCCGCAUGGGAAUAUUUGUUAAAGGACAACCGGUUGAAGAUGGGCAUGCGUUCCAUUAGCUAGUUGGCGGGGUAACGGCCCACCAAGGCAACGAUGGAUAGGGGAACUGAGAGGUUUAUCCCCCAACUGGUACUGAGACACGGACCAGACUCCUACGGGAGGCAGCAGUGAGGAAUAUUGGUCAAUGGACGCAAGUCUGAACCAGCCACGUCGCGUGAAGGAAGACGGCCCUACGGGUUGUAAACUUCUUUUGCAAGGGAAUAAAGUGGGCCACGUGUGGCCUUUUGCAAGUACCUUGCGAAUAAGGAUCGGCUAACUCCGUG